rnacentral:piRNA from 1 species
CACAAAGAUGGAAACUGAACUUCAG